rnacentral:lncRNA from 1 species
UUUUCACAAGCAGGGGAAAAGCAGCACCUAGGGAGCUAGGCUUUUAAUAACCACCUGAUGGUAAUCUCACAGACUCCACAAAACAUAGGCUGGUAGCUUCCUACUUGCAAAGUAUAUUAUGCUUAGUGAAUGAACAUCAGCCCCAACAGUGCUUAGCUCCAGAAAGCAACCCUUGCCUUCUUCACAACUAGGUCUUUUGUAUACCUAAGGCAAAUGAGCCACUACACUGCCAAAUUCCCUGUGUGCACUGUUCGUUACAGGAAAUUUCUGUAUAUUGAAAUCCACUUGACUGUGUUCUCUUUUGUGCAGAAACAUGAAUUGCUACGAAAAUGCCUUCAUUUCACAAGUGGGGAAAAGCAGCACAUAGCGAGCUUGGGUGAUAACUGCCUGAGGGCAAUCUCCCAAACUGCAAAAACAAGAGGCUGGAAGCUUCCCAGUAGUAUAUUGUAUUCAGUGAACAAACACCAGUCACAAUGGGGGUUUGCUCUGGAAACAACACUUUUCUUUUUCCCACCUGAGCCUACCUUAUAACUAUGGCAAAGGAGCUGCUCCACUGCCAAAGGCUCUUUAUGUACUGGUUAUUUACAGGAGGUUUCAGUAGCUUGAAACCCAUCUUAUAUGUGUUCUCCUUUGUGGAGAAGCCUGAUAUGUUAUGAAAAUACCUUCUUUUCACAAGUGGGAAAAAGCCACAUAUAGCAGGCUAGGGUGAUAACUGCCUGAAUUCAAUCACAGAAACUCCACAAAACAAGAGGCUGGAAGCUUCCUACUCACAAAGCGUGUUAUACUCAGUGAAGGAACACCAGCUCCAAUGGUGGAUUGCUCCAGAAAGCAACCCUUGCCUUUUUGCCACCAAAUGAGUGGAGUGGCAAAUGAGCCACUCCACUGCCAAAUCCUCUGUGUGCACUGGUUGUUUACAGGAUGUUUCAGUAGCUUGAAACACACUCAAAAAGUUUUCUCAUUCUUGGAGAAGCCUGAAUUGCUCUGAAAAUGCUCUCUUUCCACAAGCAGUGAAAAGCAGCACAUAUUGAGUUAGGGUGAAUAUCUCCUGAUGGCAAUCUCAGAAACUCUGCAAAACAAGAGGUUGGAAGCUUCCUAAUUCCAAAGUAUUUGGUACUCAGUGACCAAACACCAGAACCAAUGGUGGUUAGCUGCCGAAAGCAACCCUUCCCUAUUUCCCGUAUAGGCCUUUGCUAUAUUUAGUGCGAAUGAGCCACUCCAUUGCCAAAUGCUCUGUGUGUACCGGUUGUUUACAGGAGGUUUCAGUAGCUUGAAACUCACUUGAAAUGUGUUCUCUUUGUGGAGAAGCCUGAUUGGUUAUGAAAAUGCCUUUUUUUCACAAGCAGUGAAAAACAGAACAUAUCGAGCAGAUAUCAAUCACACAAACUCCACAAAAGAAGUGUCUGGAAGCUUCCUACUUGCAGUGUAUACUGUACUCAGUGAACAAACACCAGCCCCUAGGUUUGUUUGCUCCAGAAAGCAACACUUGAGUUUUUCCACAAAUGCCUGUGUUACACAUAGAGUGAAUGAUCCAUUCCGCUGCCAAAUGUUCUGUGUGUAUUAGUUGUUCACAGGUUUCAGUAGCUUGCAACUCACUCAAAAAGUGUUCUUUCUCCUUUGUGGAGAAACCUGAUUUGCUACGAAAAUGUCUUUUCACAAGCGGGAAAAGCAGCACUCAUCAAGCUUGGGCAAUAAUUCCCUGAUGUCAAUCUCACAAACUUCAAAAAACAAGAGGCUGGAAGAUGCCUACUACACAAAGUAUGUUGUAUUCAGUGAACAAACACCAGCCCCAAUGGUGAUUUGCUCCGGAAAGCAACCCUUGCCUUCUUUCCAACCUAGGGCUAUGAUAUACCUAGGGCAAAGGUCCCACUGCCCUGCCAAAUGCUCUGGGUGCACUGAUUGAUUACAGGAGGAUUCCCUAGCUUGAAUCCCACUCAAAAGCUGUUCUCCUUUUUAGAGACACUCGAUUUACUGUGAAAAAGCCUUCUUUUCAGAAGUGGAGAAAAACAGCACGUAGGGAGGUAGGGUGAUAACAACCUCAUAACAAUCUCACAAAGGCCAGAAAACAAGGUGCUGGAAGCUUCCUACUUGCCAAGUAUAUUGUACUUGGUGAACAAACAUCAGCCCCAAUGGUGGUUUGCUUUGGAUAGCAACCCUUGCCUUUUUCCCGCCUUGGCCUGUGUUAUACCAAGGUCAAAUGAGACCCAGCACAGGCAAACUCUCUGUGUGCACUGCUUGUUUGUAAGCGUCUUCAGAGGCUUAAAACCAACUCAAAUGUAUUCUCCUUUGUGGAGAAGUCUGAUUUGGCAUGAAAACGCCUUCUUUUCAGAAGGGCGGAGAAUCAGAACAUAGCAAGCUUGGGCAAUAAUCACCUGAUGGCAAUCUCACCAACUCCACACUACAAGAUGCUGGAAGCUUCCUACUUGAAAAAUAUAUUGUACUCAGUGAACAAACACCAGCCCCAAUGGUGGUUUGCUUCGGAAUGCAACCCUUGCCUUUUUCCCACCUAGGCCUCUGUUAUACCAUUGUGUUGUAUGCAAUCCCUAUCAAGUUACAGGACAUUUUUCACAGAACUACAACAGAGUCCAAAAAUUUAUAUGGAAGCAUCAAAAACCCAGAAUUGCCAAAGCAAUCCUGAGGAACAAGAACCAAGCUGGAUGUAUAACUCUUCUAGACUUCAGACAAUAAUACAAAGCUACCGAAAUGAAUAAUGUGUGAAACGGGUACCAAAACUGACCUACAUAUCAAUGGAACAAAACAGAGAUCCCAGAAAGAAACCCAGACAACUACAGUCAAUUAAUCUUCAACAAAGGAGGCAAGAAUAUAUAAUGUGCAAAACACAGUCUCUUCAGCAAGUGCUGCUUGGCAAACUAGACAGCUGCAUGUAAAUCAAUGAAACUAGAACACACCCUCACACCAUGAACAAAAAUAAACUCAAAAAUAGCUCAAAGACUUCAACAUAAGUCAAGACACAAUAAAACUCCUGGAAGAGAACCUAGGCAAGACAUUCUCUGACAUCAACCAUAUAAAUAUCUUCUCCCAAAUCAAUAGAAAUAAAAACAAAAAUAGGAAUUCCCAUCAUGGCUCACUGGAAACAAAUGUGAGUAGUACCCACGAGGAUGCAGGUUCAAUCCCUGGCCUCACUCAGUUAAGGAUCUGGUGUUGCAGUAAGCUAUGGUGUAGGUUGAAGAUGCGGCACGGAUCACACUUUGCUGCAGCUGUGGUGUAGGCUGGCAACUACAGAUCCAAUUCAACUCCUAGCUGGGAAACUCCAUAUGCUGCAGGUGCAACCCUAAAAAGACCAAAAAACAUAAAUAAAAAAAAUUUUAAAAAGAAAUAAAAACAAAAAUAUACCAAUGGGACCUAAUCAAACUUACAAGCUUUUUGCACAGCAAAGGAAAUCAUUUUUAAAAAAUGAACAGAAUGAUAGAAAAUAAUUUCAAAUGAUACAACUGACAAGGGAUUAAUCUCUAAAAUAUACAAACAACUUAUACAACUCAAGAGCAGAAAAAGAAGCAAUCCAAUUGAAAAAUGGGCAGAAAAAAAUCAUGGACUUGGAGAAUAGACUUGUGGCUGCCCGGGGGGAGAGGGAGGGAGUAGGAGGGAUCGGGAGCUUGGGGUUAUCAGAUGCAAACUAUUGCUCUUGGAAUGGAUAUGCAAUGAGAUCCUGCUGUGUAGCACUGAGAACUACGUCUAGAUAUUUACACUGCAACAGAAAAAUGGGAGGAAAGAGAAUGCAUACAUGUAUGUAUAACUUGGUCCCCAUGCUGUACAACAGAAAAAAAAAAAAAAAAAAGAACGAGGAAACCAAAAAACAACAACAACAAAAAAUGGGCAGAAGACCUGAAUAGACAUUUCACCAAAGAUGAUAUACAGAGACUCUCAUACUAAGUGAAGUAAGCCAGAAAGAGAAAGACAAAUACGAUAUGGUAUCAGUUAUAUCUGGAAUCUAAUAUACAGCACAAAUGAACCUUUCUUCAGAAAAUAAAAAAACUCAUGGUUUGGAGAACAGACUCAUGAUUGCCAAGGAUGAGGGGGAGGGAGUGGGAUGGACGGGGAGUUUGGGGUUAAUAGAUGCAAACCUGCCUUUGGAGUGGAUAAGCAAUGAGAUUCUGCUGUAUAGCACAGGGAACUAUAUCUAGUCACUUGAGAUGGAACUUGAUGGAGGAUAAUGUGAGAAAAAGAAUGUGUAUGUAUAUGUAUAUGUAUGACUGGGUCGCUUUGCUGUGCAGCAGAAGUUGACAGAACAAUGUAAAUGAAGUAGAACAGAAAAAAUAAAAACCUAAAAAAGAAAGUGAGGUCGCAGACGCGGCUCUGGCGUAGGCCGGUGGCUACAGCUCCAAUUCGACCCCUAGCCUGGGAACCUCCAUAUGCUGCAGGAGCGGCCCAAAGAAAUAGCAAAAAGACUAAAAAAAAAAAAAAAAAAAAAAAAAAAGAAAGAAAGUGAAGGGAUGGAAAAUAUAUUUCAUGCAAAUGGAAAUGACAAGAAAGUAUCUCAAUAAUAAUGUCAGAUGAAAUACACUUUAAAACAAAGGCCAUUAAGAAAGAUAGAGAAGGAGACUAUUUCAUGAUUAAAGGUUCAAUUCAAGGUGAGGACAUUACACUCAUCAACAUAUAUGCUCCUGGAGUUCCCAUUGUGGCUCAGUGGAAAACAAUCUGACUAGUAUCCAUGAGGAUGCAGGUUCAACCCCUGGCCUUGCUCAGUGGGUUGAGGAUCUGACAUUGCCCUGAGCUGUGGUAUAGGUUGCAGACACAGCUUGUAUCUGGUGUUUCUGUGGCUGUGGCAUAGGCCAGUGGCCACAGCUCUGAUUUGACCCCUAGCCUGGGAAUCUCUACAUGCCGUGGGUUUGGCCCUAAAAAGACCAAAAAAAAAAAAAAAAAAAAUCCUCCUAAUGUAGGAGCACCCAAUAACACACAACAAAUACUAAAAGACAUAAAAGGAGAAACUAUGGGAAUACAAUAAGAGUAGAAGACUUUGGAGUUCCCAUCGUGGCUCAGUGGUAAAGAACCCAACUAGUAUCCAUGAGGGUGUAGGUUCAAUUCCUGGCCUUGCUCAGUGGGUUAAGGAUCCUGCACUGCUGUGGCUUUGGCAUAGGCCAUCAGCUGCAGCUCUGGUUCAACCCCUAGCCUGGGAAUUUCCAUAUUCUGCAGGUGCAGCACUAAAAAAAGCAAAAAAA